ACGAACGCUGGCGGCGUGCCUCAUACAUGCCAGUUGAGCGCUGAAGGUUGGUACUUGUACCAACUGGAUGAGCAGCGAACGGGUGAGUAACGCGUGGGGAAUCUGCCUUUGAGCGGGGGACAACAUUUGGAAACGAAUGCUAAUACCGCAUAAAAACUUUAAACACAAGUUUUAAGUUUGAAAGAUGCAAUUGCAUCACUCAAAGAUGAUCCCGCGUUGUAUUAGCUAGUUGGUGAGGUAAGGGCUCACCAAGGCGAUGAUACAUAGCCGACCUGAGAGGGUGAUCGGCCACAUUGGGACUGAGACACGGCCCAAACUCCUACGGGAGGCAGCAGUAGGGAAUCUUCGGCAAUGGACGAAAGUCUGACCGAGCAACGCCGCGUGAGUGAAGAAGGUUCUCGGAUCGUAAAACUCUGUUGGUAGAGAAGAACGUUGGUGAGAGUGGAAAGCUCAUCAAGUGACGGUAACUACCCAGAAAGGGACGGCUAACUACGUG
rnacentral:rRNA from 1 species